CUUGGUCAUUUAGAGGAAGUAAAAGUCGUAACAAGGUUUCCGUAGGUGAACCGGCGGAAGGAUCAUUAGUGAAUAUUAGGGUGCUCUGUGGCUUUAACACGCCCAGAGGCCUGACCUCCACUUUCCACACUGUGCACCUUUCGGCGAAAUGGAAUCUUGAGCUUUGCUCUCGAGGACGUUUUGCGGCUUCAUUAUAAAACACUAGUUUAAGAAUGUAAAAAAAACCAUAACAAAAAAAAACUUUCAACAACGGAUCUCUUGGCUCUCGCAUCGAUGAAGAACGCAGCGAAAUGUGAUAAGUAAUGUGAAUUGCAGAAUUCAGUGAAUCAUCGAAUCUUUGAACGCACCUUGCGCUCUCUGGUAUUCCGGAGAGCAUGUCUGUUUGAGUGUCAUGAACUCUUCAACCCACCGGUUCCUUGUUGGACCGGAUUGGUGUUUGGAUUUUGAGUGUUGCUAUUUAGUUAGCUCAUUCGUAAUACAUUAGCAUCUCAAUUUCGUAAUCGGAUUGACUCAGCGUAAUAGACUAUUCGCUGAGGACACGCUCUUUGUAGUGUGGCCGAAUGAGAUCUCAGUAGAAGCUUCCAACUACUUUAGUCAACUUUAGAUUAGACCUCAGAUCAGGCAGGAUUACCCGCUGAACUUAAGCAUAUCAAUAAGCGGAGGAAAAGAAACUAACAAGGAUUCCCCUAGUAACGGCGAGUGAAGCGGGAAGAGCUCAAAUUUGUAAUCUGGCACUUUCAGUGUCCGAGUUGUAAUCUCGAGAAGUAUUUUCCGCGCCGGACCGCAUACAAGUCUGUUGGAAUACAGCGUCAUAGUGGUGAGAACCCCGUAACUGAUGCGGAUGCCCGGUGCUUUGUGAUAUACUUUCGAAGAGUCGAGUUGUUUGGGAAU
rnacentral:sRNA from 1 species